GGGUCAUUAGUUCAGUUGGAAGAACGCUAGCUUUGCAAGCUGGAUGUCAUGGGUUCGAAUCCCAUAUGUAUCCA
rnacentral:tRNA from 2 species